rnacentral:rRNA from 1 species
AUUGAACGCUGGCGGCAGGCCUAACACAUGCAAGUCGAGCGGAUGAAGGGAGCUUGCUCCUGGAUUCAGCGGCGGACGGGUGAGUAAUGCCUAGGAAUCUGCCUGGUAGUGGGGGAUAACGUCCGGAAACGGGCGCUAAUACCGCAUACGUCCUGAUGGAGAAAGUGGGGGGUCUUCGGACCUCACGCUAUCAGAUGACCCUAGGUCGGAUUAGCUAGUUGGUGGGGUAAAGGCCUACCAAGGCGACGAUCCGUAACUGGUCUGAGAGGAUGAUCAGUCACACUGGAACUGAGACACGGUCCAGACUCCUACGGGAGGCAGCAGUGGGGAAUAUUGGACAAUGGGCGAAAGCCUGAUCCAGCCAUGCCGCGUGUGUGAAGAAGGUCUUCGGAUUGUAAAGCACUUUAAGUUGGGAGGAAGGGCAGUAAGUUAAUACCUUGCUGUUUUGACGUUACCAAAAGAAUAAGCACCGGCUAACUUCGUG